rnacentral:rRNA from 1 species
UACGUAGGGUGCGAGCGUUAAUCGGAAUUACUGGGCGUAAAGCGUGCGCAGGCGGUUUUGUAAGCCAGAUGUGAAAUCCCCGGGCUUAACCUGGGAAUGGCAUUUGGGACUGCAAGGCUGGAGUGCGGCAGAGGAGACUGGAAUUCCUGGUGUAGCAGUGAAAUGCGUAGAUAUCAGGAGGAAUACCGAUGGCGAAGGCAGGUCUCUGGGCUGACACUGACGCUCAUGCGCGAAAGCGUGGGGAGCGAUCCGG